rnacentral:tRNA from 1 species
GCUGAAGUGGCGGAAGUGGUAGACGCGCUAGGUUCAGGACCUAGUGUCCAUUAGGAUGUAGGGGUUCGAGUCCCCUCUUCAGCACCA